rnacentral:lncRNA from 1 species
AGACCAUUGGAACUAUCAUCUUAUACUAUGUUUCUAUUUGCUAGAAAGUCACAUAGUACAAUGAGCUUCAUAAUUAUAGACUGAUCUAUAUAUCUAUAUUUCAAGCAGUGUGCCAUGAUUUCAUAAAAUAUUUAUUAAGCUUCUGCCAAUAGUCUACUAGAUAUCAUAGAAAAAUACAUAUAAAAUCCUGCCUUUAGCAGAUUAUGACAUAGCUAAAGAUGUUUACAUUCAUCACUACAAUUAAGCAAUAAAGCAGGUGCAAAUAGGUGUGUGGUGGGAUGAGGGAGUAGCUUUUAUUUAAUAUCUGUAUCAGAUCCAGACUCUGUGUCAUACCAGAGCUACUCAGCUUCGCCUAUCCACUCUCCCCACAAUCCUCCGCUUUCUUUGCUUCCCAGCUGGAAGGAUCCUGGCACUGCCCACUGGUCUUAUAGUUUAAUGCCGUGACUUCUGCCACUGCCAUGCACACCCUUGGACCAGUUCCCAUUGGCACUACUGACUGCAAUGUCUGCUCCAUCACCAGAUUGGACCAAGAGAAGGUGUUACUUCUCCAGUGGCUGCCCGGGAAUGCUGGUCCUGCAAAAUGGAUUUGGA